rnacentral:rRNA from 1 species
CAGCUUGUUGGUGGGGUAACGGCUCACCAAGGCGACGAUCCGUAGCUGGUCUGAGAGGACGAUCAGCCACACUGGGACUGAGACACGGCCCAGACUCCUACGGGAGGCAGCAGUGGGGAAUCUUGCGCUAAUGCGGGAAACCGUGACGCAGCGACGCCGCGUGAGGGAAGAAGGCCUUCGGGUUGUAAACCUCUUUCAGGAGGGACGAAGCCACUCGGGUUAAUAGCCCAGAGGGUGACGGUACCUCCAGAAGAAGCCCCGGCUAACUACGUGCCAGCAGCCGCGGUAAUACGUAGGGGGCAAGCGUUGUCCGGAUUUAUUGGGCGUAAAGAGCGUGUAGGCGGCUAGGUAGGUCCGUUGUGAAAACUCGAGGCUCAACCUCGAGACGUCGAUGGAAACCAUCUAGCUAGAGUCCGGAAGAGGAGAGUGGAAUUCCUGGUGUAGCGGUGAAAUGCGCAGAUAUCAGGAAGAACACCCGUGGCGAAGGCGGCUCUCUGGUACGUGACUGACGCUGAGACGCGAAAGCGUGGGGAGCAAACAGGAUUG